GAAAAUCAAAAGGAAUAGAUCCAAACAAACAAGAUGUAUAAUUCAGGAAAGGUUUCCUGAAAUAAGCAUAUACUUGAAACGACAUAUUGAAAGAUUAUCUAAACACCUUGGAAAAUGGAGUCCAAAUAUCCAAUACCAAGACAUUCUAGUAAAAUUAUUGGAAGAGAAAGGAAAGAAGGAAGAAGGGGAAAGAAGGAAGAAGGGGAAAGAGGGAAGAAAUAAAAUUUCUUGGGGUUCCUUUCCCCACCAAAAGAAGAUGCACUGACAUUUUGAAAGAAAAUUAGUUUGACAUCAGAUUUUUCAACAGCAAUGCCUUAUGUCAGAACAAAAUGGAGUUACAUAUUCAGGCCAAGUGUGAGCCACCACGCGUGGCACAAAACAAACAUUCUUAAUGAGAGUACCUCUAAUAUAUCACUUACAUGCAGUCAACUCCAGGAUAAAUCACGUAAAUAUAUAUUCUAGCUGUAUGAUAGAGUCAACUCUUAGCUCUCUGCAAAAGGCUAAUGGUUUGGAUUUUUAAUGAGAAGAAAUAAAACUGGUAGAAAUACAGUAACAUUGAAAGUAUUUUAUGAAUUUUUAAUUAUAUUCAAUAAUUUUCUCAAUUUUAAAAGAAUAAUGUGAAACAGUAUAUAUGAGUCAGUCUCAUAUUUGAAUACUUGUAUGGGGUAAUAAGUUGUGUAAUAGUUAAAUUCCCAAGAGACCGAAAAAAUAAUUACCCGCAUUUUAAAACAGUAAAUUGAGGGUGAAAAGACUCAAUCAUUUCCUCAGAAUGUUUUCUCGUAACUGACUCAUAAAUAAAUACAGUCUUCCUGUAGAUUAUUUUAAUUUUACCCAAUGAAAUUCACUAUAGAGGUUAUCACUAAACAGGACAUAUUCUUGCGUUUUUAUCACAUUGUUUUUGGUGACAUUUCAAGAAGCCAUAGUCAUAAUUUAGUGUGGAAGUUAUGUCGGUAUUCACAGUAGGCAGAUACACACAAAAUAAUGUCUUUUGACAGAAUCCAAAUGCUUCUGUCCAAAUCUGCUCUUAUAUCUAAGAAGUAAUUCUCCUUGAAAGAGCAGCUUUACAUAAGCUUUAAAACCCUAAUUAUAAGCUCAGAAACUCAGCUCUAAAUUACUUUAAUUACAUAAAAUUGAUGUAAAUCAUAAAGUGUAGAGAAGUCACUUUUCCUUUUGUCUGUUGGCUGCAGCAAGCAUCCUAAGAACUGCUCCAAUGUCUAAGCCAGAUAGAAAUAGAAAGGAAUGCUGUAAAAAUACCUAAGGAUGAAAAAUUCAGAGAGGAAUUUCUAUUUGUCCUGCAAAACAGUGCCUGGGAGAUAUACACGAAUGGGCGUGCACAUGCGUAUAUACACCUACCCCACACCCCCAUAAGCAUAUACACAUAUAUGUGUAUGCUGACCGAAAAGAAAAUAUUUCUCAACAUCAUAGCACUGCAGUCAUUUCACCAAUCUAUUAACUCAACAAAUUCGUUUCCUACUCUAAGCCAGGCAUUCAUUUCAGGGAAAUAAGAAAAGGAAUUGCCAGAUAUCAAAGCAUUAAAAGAAAGGCGGGCUGGGCGCGGAGGCUCACGCCUGCAAUCCCAGCACUUUGGGAGGCGGGCGGAUCACAAGGUCAGGAGUUUGAGACCAACCUGGCCAAUAUGGUGAAACCCUAUCUUUACUAAAAAUACAAAAAUUAGCUGGGUGUGGAAUUAGCUGGGCGUGGUGUCUGGUGCCUGUAAUCUCAGCAACUCAGGGGGCUGAGGUAGGAGAAUCGCUUGAAACC
rnacentral:lncRNA from 10 species